GCGGUAGUAGAGUCUGGCCUAGUAUCUAGGACUGUCAAUCCUAGGGCCCGGGUCCAAAUCCCGGCCGGGGCGCCA
rnacentral:tRNA from 1 species